CUUGGCACCGUUUGCCAUGGCUCCUGUCGCCGUGCUCCCCAGGCAUGCUUACUGCUCCAGACCUAAAAUCAGCCGUUUCUCCAAGGAGCCAUUUGGCCACUAGGGUUACACAGCUUUCUUUUUUCUACACAAACUCUAGCAAACAAAUGAAGCCAUUCUGCAGUUUCACAACAGGUGCAUCUUAGUCCCCAUAACUGACUUUGGAAAACAAAAGCUCUGAGGAUUUCUUCUACUUUACCCCCUGCUAUGCCCCACCCCCAACCCCCCUCAGGCAGUGAGCAACAGGCUGACUUUAGUGUGAAUUCAGGAAAGAAGAAGGCGGGGAGACCCAGGGAAAAAACCCAGGGUAUGUAAAGCUCAUAGCACGCGAACUAGGUGAUCAGAUAAAUGAUUAAUCCCAUCCUUCUGAUUUGUUCUUUCCUCCUGUCUACAAAAACAUACCUUUGAAUUCAAUAAUUCUUAGCAGCGUUAAUACGACUACUUCUCAUUGGAGAGGAGGAAAAUGCAGAGAACCAACUAGUUACAUUGUAACGCACGUUGCUGAGAAAUGCCUCUUCUGGUGUUUGUGCAGCUCCUGCUCCCAGAGCCUCCGGGAGCUGGCUUUCCUGCCCCAACAUGCGAUUUUGCAGCAGCGAUGCACAUUUGAAUCCUGGAAACUCCUCCGUGCUCUCCCUCCUCUCUCCACACCCGGCCCCUCCUCCUCAUCUUGUCAGAAUCUAAAGUUCAGAAAGACAAGUUCAUGGAACUCAAUGCCAGGAAGCCUUGAGUAAUCUCGCUUUGCAUAAUACAGUUCUUAGGGUUACUUUUCAAAUGCCAAAACGCCUUGUCAUCUAAGUUUCUUUCUUGUUUUUGAUAAAGAAGUGGGUACUAAGGAAUAUUGCUGUGUGGAAGGAAGAACAGUGAUCCAGACUCACGGAGUCUCAUCACCGCCCCAGGAGGUGAUUCCAGGAAGCUCUGUGAGGUCGUGAAAUGAGACAGGGCUCGCAGAAGGACCAGCAGAGGGUUCUCUUGAGGAGCCCAGCAGGGCAAAGCUUCAAGUGCUUCACAAAUAGCCCUUCGCUGACUCUCCAUGACAGCCCCACGAGACAAGUGUUGUUAUCCCCCCUCUACAGAUGGAGAAACUGAGGCGUGGAGGAAUGGCGAACAACUCACACAAGAUCCUCCCGUCUCAGCUUGCGGACCACCUCCUCCAAGAAGCGACCGUGAUCACCUCUCCUACUAGUACCUUUGGCAGAGAUCUGUUUGUUUUCCUCAUAGCACUUAACAGUUUGUAAUAAUUUUCUCUGUUGCUUUACUUACUUACCAUCUGCGACUAUAAGCUUCAUGAGGACAGGGGCCCAUCUGUCUUGUUCACUUUGAAUUCCUACUUCGUAUCUCAGGGACUGGCUCCAUGUAGGAGCUUAAUAAAUAGUAU